UGAGUAAAAAUAUUACCAAAAGAUUGAGAAAAAUGAUGAAGCAAUUAAGAAAAUGAAUAGCAGAAAUGUAAACUGAAUCUUUUUUGUUGGCAUGAUUAUCUUUGUAACUCUUCGUUUGAUGAAGAUAAAGUUGUAAGUUUUUGAGUUUAGAGCAAAUGGUUAUCUACAGUUAUAUACUUGAAAAUUUACUUUACCAAAAAUAAGAUACAUAAACAUAGUUAAAAUGUAAUUGACUAUUGCAGUAAUACUUUCCAUGAAAAUCUUGCACUAUUUAUCACAACUAGAUUUUUUGACCAAAAAAUAAUUUUAAAAUAUCUGGAUCCGCGCAUAACGCUUGCAAAAAAGAUCUAGUUGUUAUAAAUACUACAAUGUUUUCAUGGGAUAUUAUUACUGCAAUAGUCAAUUAUAUUUUAAGUGUAUAUAUAUAUAUAUAUAUAUAUAUAUAUAUAUAUAUAUAUAUAUAUAUAUAUAUCUUAUUUCUUGUAAAGUAGAUUUGUAAAUAUAAUUUUUUAAUUUUAUAGUUGAGGGGUUUUAGUACCCUUCAACUAUUUUUGAAUCGUAAUCAAGAUAUCUUAAUUAAUUUUAAAUCUUUAACCCUUCAAUUUACAAAGUGUUAACAUUUGUCACUCUCUGUCUAUAAUUAUUUAACAAAAAGUGACACACGUUAUUAGUUUGUAAGUUGAAGUAUUAAAACAAUAAAAAAAAUUUGAAAGAUUUUAUUUUGAUUGAAAAAUAGUUGAGAGUUUUAAUCACUGAAAUACAUUUUGAAAUAAAUUGGUUUAUAUAAAGAAUAUAUAAGUUGAUUUUUCUCUGAUUAUUAGAUGUUUCUUGUUGACUAAUAAAAAUUUGGCUUAGACAAAAUGAUUGUAAACUGUAGUAAGUGGGACUAUGGUAGCUGAAGUACAGAAAGAACAUAAUUGUAAAGUCAGUUAAGGAAAAUUUGUUUAUCGGAUAAUGUGGAUUCCAAGUAAGAAAAAAUUGAUUAGCAAUCAUUGCAGGAUUAUACAAAAAGAAGAUCGGAUCUGCGGAAACUAGUGAAGAAAAAUAUUUUUGAUGGUAACUACUCCCUCCGUUUCGCUAUGUAAGUAGUUUUGCUUAAAAGCACGGCUAUUAAGAAACUUCAACUUUUUCUAAAACAACAAUAAAAACGUUUUUGUAUUUAUUGCACACGUUCAUUUUGUCUGCAACAUUUAAUUAGAAAGAGAUUAUUGUUAGUAAUAAAAUUAAUAAAAAAUAAUAUCAACAAUCACACGUUUGAGUUUUCUAAAAACUUUUUUACAACAUUUUGGAGCCAAAUUUUUGUAUAACUAAUUUAAACUAAAAAAUCAAAAUUUUAUGAUGGAGCCAAAGUAAAACUUUUGAACAGUUUGUAAUAUGCUUAUUUAAGCUUCAAUUUCUUUGUCGGGAUGAAGCUCUCCAAUAUCAUAAUGCAUCUUGUUCAAGUCAAAUGGCCGAGUGAACAUCUGGAGUUUUAUGAAGAAAAAAUAGAUCGAAGAAAGUAAAUCAAAAAGAAAAACUAAUGGAGUAAGACAACAUUUACGGUGGUAUUUAUAGUGAAUUUAGAAAUAGAUUUUUUGGUAACUAGUAGUAAAUGUUAGUUGACUGACAUUGUAAGUUGUGUUUAAAAAAUUGAAAACUAACGACAAGGCCUUUAAGUUUUUUAGUGGAAUAUUGUAUA